UGACGCAGCAACGCCGCGUGGGGGAUGAAGGUUCUCGGAUUGUAAACCCCUUUCGAUCGGAACGAAUCCCCUCCUGGUAAAUAAUCAGGAGGAUCGACGGUACCGAGAGAAGAAGCCACGGCUAACUCUGUGCCAGCAGCCGCGGUAAGACAGAGGUGGCUAGCGUUGUUCGGAUUUAUUGGGCGUAAAGCGCACGCAGGCGGUUUGGUAAGUCAGAGGUGAAAGCCCACGGCUUAACCGUGGCAUUGCCUUUGAUACUGCCUUUCUUGAGUAGAGUAGGGGGAAGCGGAAUUCCGAGUGUAGAGGUGAAAUUCGUAGAUAUUCGGAGGAACACCGGUGGCGAAGGCGGCUUCCUGGACUCUAACUGACGCUCAGGUGCGAAAGCGUGGGGAGCAAACAGGAUUAGAUACCCUGGUAGUCCACGCCCUAAACGAUGGGCACUAGGUGUGGGAGGUAUCGACCCCUUCCGUGCCGCAGCUAACGCAUUAAGUGCCCCGCCUGGGGAGUACGGCCGCAAGGUUG
rnacentral:rRNA from 1 species